AGAGUUUGAUCAUGGCUCAGAACGAACGCUGGCGGCGUGCUUAACACAUGCAAGUCGAGUGCGCGGUUGUAGCAAUACAACUGGCGCACGGCGCACGGGUGCGUAACACGUGGGCAAUCUGCCCUUCGAUGGGGAAUAACUCCGGGAAACCGAAGCUAAUUCCGCAUAAUAUUCCUUGGACUUCGGUUCGAGGAUUCAAAGCCGUAAGGCGUCGAAGGAGGAGCCCGCGCCCGAUUAGCUAGUUGGUGAGGUAAUGGCUCACCAAGGCUAUGAUCGGUAGCUGGUCUGAGAGGAUGGCCAGCCACACUGGAACUGAGACACGGUCCAGACUCCUACGGGAGGCAGCAGUGGGGAAUCUUGCGCAAUGGGCGAAAGCCUGACGCAGCGACGCCGCGUGGGGGAUGAAGCAUCUCGGUGUGUAAACCCCUUUCGACUGGGACGAAUGCCUCGCAAGAGGAGUGACGGUACCAGUAGAAGAAGCCCCGGCUAACUACGUGCCAGCAGCCGCGGUAAGACGUAGGGGGCCAGCGUUGUUCGGAAUUACUGGGUGUAAAGGGUUCGUAGGCGGUGCGGCAAGUUGGGAGUGAAAUCUCUGGGCUUAACCCAGAGGCUGCUUCCAAAACUGCUGUGCUUGAGUGUGGGAGAGGCGCGUGGAAUUGCAGGUGUAGCGGUGAAAUGCGUAGAUAUCUGCAGGAACACCCGUGGCGAAAGCGGCGCGCUGGACCACUACUGACGCUGAGGAACGAAAGCUAGGGGACAAACAGGAUUAGAUACCCUAGUAGUCC
rnacentral:rRNA from 1 species